UACGGGGGGAGCAAGCGUUGUUCGGAUUUACUGGGCGUAAAGGGCGCGUAGGCGGUAGCACAAGUCAGUUGUGAAAUCUCCGGGCUUAACUCGGAAAGGUCAACUGAUACUGUGCGACUAGAGUGCAGAAGGGGCAACUGGAAUUCUCGGUGUAGCGGUGAAAUGCGUAGAGAUCGGAAAGAACACCAACGACGAAAGAACUCUGAGCACUCUGCUGGGCCGACACUGACACUGAGAGACGAAAGCUAGGGGAGCGAAUGGG
rnacentral:rRNA from 1 species